rnacentral:rRNA from 1 species
UUAAGCGACUAAGCGUACACGGUGGAUGCCCUGGCAGUCAGAGGCGAUGAAGGACGUGCUAAUCUGCGAUAAGCGUCGGUAAGGUGAUAUGAACCGUUAUAACCGGCGAUUUCCGAAUGGGGAAACCCAGUGUGUUUCGACACACUAUCAUUAACUGAAUCCAUAGGUUAAUGAGGCGAACCGGGGGAACUGAAACAUCUAAGUACCCCGAGGAAAAGAAAUCAACCGAGAUUCCCCCAGUAGCGGCGAGCGAACGGGGAGCAGCCCAGAGCCUGAAUCAGUGUGUGUGUUAGUGGAAGCGUCUGGAAAGGCGCGCGAUACAGGGUGACAGCCCCGUACACAAAAAUGCACAUGCUGUGAGCUCGAUGAGUAGGGCGGGACACGUGGUAUCCUGUCUGAAUAUGGGGGGGCCAUCCUCCAAGGCUAAAUACUCCUGACUGACCGAUAGUGAACCAGUACCGUGAGGGAAAGGCGAAAAGAACCCCGGCGAGGGGAGUGAAAAAGAACCUGAAACCGUGUACGUACAAGCAGUGGGAGCACAGAGCAAUCUGUGUGACUGCGUACCUUUUGUAUAAUGGGUCAGCGACUUAUAUUCUGUAGCAAGGUUAACCGAAUAGGGGAGCCGAAGGGAAACCGAGUCUUAACUGGGCGUUAAGUUGCAGGGUAUAGACCCGAAACCCGGUGAUCUAGCCAUGGGCAGGUUGAAGGUUGGGUAACACUAACUGGAGGACCGAACCGACUAAUGUUGAAAAAUUAGCGGAUGACUUGUGGCUGGGGGUGAAAGGCCAAUCAAACCGGGAGAUAGCUGGUUCUCCCCGAAAGCUAUUUAGGUAGCGCCUCGUGAAUUCAUCUCCGGGGGUAGAGCACUGUUUCGGCAAGGGGGUCAUCCCGACUUACCAACCCGAUGCAAACUGCGAAUACCGGAGAAUGUUAUCACGGGAGACACACGGCGGGUGCUAACGUCCGUCGUGAAGAGGGAAACAACCCAGACCGCCAGCUAAGGUCCCAAAGUCAUGGUUAAGUGGGAAACGAUGUGGGAAGGCCCAGACAGCCAGGAUGUUGGCUUAGAAGCAGCCAUCAUUUAAAGAAAGCGUAAUAGCUCACUGGUCGAGUCGGCCUGCGCGGAAGAUGUAACGGGGCUAAACCAUGCACCGAAGCUGCGGCAGCGACACUAUGUGUUGUUGGGUAGGGGAGCGUUCUGUAAGCCUGUGAAGGUGUACUGUGAGGUAUGCUGGAGGUAUCAGAAGUGCGAAUGCUGACAUAAGUAACGAUAAAGCGGGUGAAAAGCCCGCUCGCCGGAAGACCAAGGGUUCCUGUCCAACGUUAAUCGGGGCAGGGUGAGUCGACCCCUAAGGCGAGGCCGAAAGGCGUAGUCGAUGGGAAACAGGUUAAUAUUCCUGUACUUGGUGUUACUGCGAAGGGGGGACGGAGAAGGCUAUGUUGGCCGGGCGACGGUUGUCCCGGUUUAAGCGUGUAGGCUGGUUUUCCAGGCAAAUCCGGAAAAUCAAGGCUGAGGCGUGAUGACGAGGCACUACGGUGCUGAAGCAACAAAUGCCCUGCUUCCAGGAAAAGCCUCUAAGCAUCAGGUAACAUCAAAUCGUACCCCAAACCGACACAGGUGGUCAGGUAGAGAAUACCAAGGCGCUUGAGAGAACUCGGGUGAAGGAACUAGGCAAAAUGGUGCCGUAACUUCGGGAGAAGGCACGCUGAUAUGUAGGUGAAGUCCCUCGCGGAUGGAGCUGAAAUCAGUCGAAGAUACCAGCUGGCUGCAACUGUUUAUUAAAAACACAGCACUGUGCAAACACGAAAGUGGACGUAUACGGUGUGACGCCUGCCCGGUGCCGGAAGGUUAAUUGAUGGGGUCAGCGCAAGCGAAGCUCUUGAUCGAAGCCCCGGUAAACGGCGGCCGUAACUAUAACGGUCCUAAGGUAGCGAAAUUCCUUGUCGGGUAAGUUCCGACCUGCACGAAUGGCGUAAUGAUGGCCAGGCUGUCUCCACCCGAGACUCAGUGAAAUUGAACUCGCUGUGAAGAUGCAGUGUACCCGCGGCAAGACGGAAAGACCCCGUGAACCUUUACUAUAGCUUGACACUGAACAUUGAGCCUUGAUGUGUAGGAUAGGUGGGAGGCUUUGAAGUGUGGACGCCAGUCUGCAUGGAGCCGACCUUGAAAUACCACCCUUUAAUGUUUGAUGUUCUAACGUUGACCCGUGAUCCGGGUUGCGGACAGUGUCUGGUGGGUAGUUUGACUGGGGCGGUCUCCUCCUAAAGAGUAACGGAGGAGCACGAAGGUUGGCUAAUCCUGGUCGGACAUCAGGAGGUUAGUGCAAUGGCAUAAGCCAGCUUGACUGCGAGCGUGACGGCGCGAGCAGGUGCGAAAGCAGGUCAUAGUGAUCCGGUGGUUCUGAAUGGAAGGGCCAUCGCUCAACGGAUAAAAGGUACUCCGGGGAUAACAGGCUGAUACCGCCCAAGAGUUCAUAUCGACGGCGGUGUUUGGCACCUCGAUGUCGGCUCAUCACAUCCUGGGGCUGAAGUAGGUCCCAAGGGUAUGGCUGUUCGCCAUUUAAAGUGGUACGCGAGCUGGGUUUAGAACGUCGUGAGACAGUUCGGUCCCUAUCUGCCGUGGGCGCUGGAGAAUUGAGGGGGGCUGCUCCUAGUACGAGAGGACCGGAGUGGACGCAUCACUGGUGUUCGGGUUGUCAUGCCAAUGGCACUGCCCGGUAGCUAAAUGCGGAAGAGAUAAGUGCUGAAAGCAUCUAAGCACGAAACUUGCCCCGAGAUGAGUUCUCCCUGACUCCUUGAGAGUCCUGAAGGAACGUUGAAGACGACGACGUUGAUAGGCCGGGUGUGUAAGCGCAGCGAUGCGUUGAGCUAACCGGUACUAAUGAACCGUGAGGCUUAACCU